rnacentral:lncRNA from 1 species
UUUUUAUUUUUUCCUUCAACAAAUUGUUUUCUUCUUCAACUAAAUUUAACCUCUCGACAAUAGGGUCGUUUGGCAUUUCCGAUUCACAUACAUCCUAGAUAAAUAAAAUCUAUGUCAUGUUGGUCGGCAUAAUUUUCAUAAACAAUAAAUGAACCAAUAGUUAUAAAGAUAAUAUACAUACCACAUCCAAAUCAUAGACAGGACGAGGGCCGACGGGGGCGGAUAGCAAAACCAUCGCACUAUAUAAGAUGCAAUAAUAAAUGUAAGAAAAUGAUACAAGUAUCUAUCUAAACAUACAAGUAAGAAUAUUUUUCCUUUCAGAAAGAAGAUAAGAACAAGAGGCUCACCACAGUGGUGUCGGUGAUGAGAUCGGCGUGGGUGAUCGAUGGCGGUGAAGACGGGGACGGGGCAUGACGGACCGCUAAAUCUAGACAAAUCUCGAGGAAAAUGGAGCUUGGGGGUCGAGCUUCGAGAGGAGAAAGCUUAAGUAGUGUGGCUCGGGCAUUCCAUUGAACACCUCAUGUGCAUAGGAGGUGAGCUAGAGCACCACAAAGCCCUCUCCCCCUCGGCCAGAAAAAACAGAGCACUGUGCUCUGCUCUUGCGCGAGGGGGUAUAUAUAGGCACCUCAUUGGUCCCGGUUGGUGGCAUGAACCGUGACUAAAGGGGAGCCUUUGGUCCUGGUUCGAGCCACCAACCGGGACCAAUGGUGGUGGGCCAGGAGCGAGGCCCAUUGGUCCCGGUUCGUCCCACCAACCGGGACCAAAAGGUCCAGACGAACCGGGACCAAUGGCCCACGUGGCCCGGCCGGACCCCUGGGCUCACGAACUGGGACCAAUGCCCACAUUGGUCCCGGUUCUAGACUGAACCGGGACUAAUGGGCUGACCCGGCCUGGACCAAAGCCCUGUUUUCUACUAGUGUAUUAUGGUUACAUAGUGGACAUAUGGGAACUUGACUACGGACAUGAUUUUAAGGUCCCUUUGUUUAAGUGCAAAUGGGUCAAUCUGUCAGGAGGCGGGGUACAGGUAGACCCACAGUACGGAAUGACAACUGUGGAUCUGAAAAAUCUUGGGUACACUGACGAACCGUUCGUCCUAGCCAAUGAUAUGGCACAUGUUAUCUUUGUGAAGGACAUGUCUACCAAACCAAGAAAAAGAAAAGAUAAGGAAGCGAAUACAUCCUACGAUGAGCCAAAGCGCCACAUAGUUCUUUUAGCAAAAAGGGACAUCGUGGGAGUGGAGGGCAAGACAGACAUGUCUGAAGAUUAUGAAAGUUUCAUGAAAUUCCUCCCUUCAAAGUCAAGGCUGACCCAAGCAUCCUGAUAAACGAUGAAGAUUAUCCAUGGUUACGGCGCAAUAAGCAAAUGACACAAGCGAAGAAAAAGUGAAGACUUUCUCCCGCAACUAUUAUGAUGAUACCAUGCCAACUUUGUAACAGACAAGUAUGGUACCAUUGUCCGUUUUGUACAUGCACAUGCUAUGUGGGUGAAAUUAUGAUACCAUGCCAACUUUCAACUUUUUCAGAGUUCAUUUGAAAUGAUUUAAUGUCUUAUGGUUCGGCCCUCGUAAUACCAUUAAUCUUGGUUCGCUCCUUGUCAACUAUGUUCUCACCAAGAACACUCAAGAGGGCAGCCACGUGGGCCAUUGGUCCCGGUUCGUCUGGACCUUUUGGUCCCGCUUCACGCACGAACCGGGACCAAUGCGCCUCACCCGUGGCCCAUGACCAUUAGUCCCGGUUUGUACCACAAACCGGGACUAAAGGGUUGGUCCUCGUUGCGGUCAGAGUUUAGUCCCACCUCCCCAACCGAAGGGCGCUCACAUCGGUUUAUAAGCCCGUCCCUCUCUGCCUUGUUGAGCUCCUCUCAAAGUGAAAAUAGAUGCCCUUAUACAGGGAAUUUGACCUAAAUUCAGAGUGAAUUUCUCUAAAAUUUAUAGAAAUUUAUUAUGAAUUUAGGUUGAAUUCUCUCUAUAGGCGCAUCUAUGCUCAUUUUUUAGUGAAGUUAAUCACAAACUUGUGAUUCACACAAAUUUCAAAGAAUUCAAAUUUUAACUAUUCAAAUUUGAAAACUAAUGGCACUAACAGAAAGUUUAUAAUUUUUCUAAAACUAAUGGCACUAACAUAAAGUUUAUAAUUUUGCUGACCUAAAAGCAAAAAGAAUUAAAAAAUAAAGCAAAAAACAAAAAAAUAAAUAAUGCAAAAAAGAAAACAAAAAAACUGGAAAAAAAACUAUUUUUAUAGUAAAGUUAAUCACAAACUUGUGAUUCACACAAAUUUCAAAGAAUUCAAAUUUUAACUAUUCAAAUUUGAAAACUAAUGGCAGUAACAGAAAGUUUAUCAUUUUUCUAAAACUAAUGGCCCAUGGAGAUGCUUCCUUCUGGCCUAGCGCGGUUACGGACAUAUUUCUUUAGGACUCCCAUGAACCUCUCAAAGGGGAACUUAUUGUGUAGAAAUACGGGCCCCAGGAUGACAAUCUCGUCGACUAGAUGAACUAGGACGUGCGUCAUGAUAUUGAAGAAGGAUGGUGGGAACACCAGCUCGAAAUUGACAAGACAUUGCGCCACAUCACUCCUUAGCCUUGGUACGAUUUCUGGAUCGAUCACCUUCUGAGAGAUUGCAUUGAGGAAUGCACGUAGCUUCACAAUGGCUAAUCGGACGUUUUCCGGUAGAAGCCCCCUCAAUGCAACCGGAAGCAGUUGCGUCAUAAUCACGUGGCAGUCAUGAGACUUUAGGUUCUGAAACUUCUUGUCUGGCAUAUUUAUUAUUCCCUUUAUAUUUGACGAGAAGCCAAUCGUGGCCUUCAUACUGAGCAGGCAUUCAAAGAAGAUUUCUUUCUCUUCUUUCGUAAGAGCGUAGCUGGCAGGACCUUUAUACUGCUUCGGAGGCAUGCCGUCUUUUUCGUGCAAACGUUGCAGGUCCUCCCGUGCCUCAGGUGUAUCUUUUGUCUUCCCAUACACGCCCAAGAAGCCUAGCAGGUUCACGCAAAGGUUCUUCGUCACGUGCAUCACGUCGAUUGAGGAGCGGACCUCUAGGUCUUUCCAGUAGGGUAGAUCCCAAAAUAUAGAUUUCUUCUUCCACAUGGGUGCGUGUCCCUCAGCGUCAUUCGGAAGAGCUAGUCCACCGCGACCCUUUCCAAAGAUUACAUAGUGUAAAUCAUUGACCAUAGCAAGCACGUGAUCACCGGUGCGUAUGGCGGGCUUCUUCCGGUGAUCUGCCUCGCCUUUGAAAUGCUUGCCUUUCUUUCGACAUUGAUGGUUGGUCGGAAGAAAUCGACGAUGGCCCAGGUACACAUUCUUCCUGCAUUUGUCUAGGUAUAUACUUUCAGUGACAUCUAAACAGUGCGUGCAUGCGUGGUAUCCUUUGUUUGUCUGUCCUGAAAGGUUACUGAGAGCGGGCCAAUCGUUGAUGGUCACGAACAGCAACACCUUAAGGUUAAAUUCCUCCUGUCUGUGCUCAUCCCACAUACGUACACCGUUUCCAUUCCACAGCUGUAAAAGUUCUUCAACUAAUGGCCUUAGGUACACAUCAAUUUCGUUGCCGGGUUGCUUAGGGCCUUGGAUGAGAACUGGCAUCAUAAUGAACUUCCGCUUCAUGCACAUCCAAGGAGGAAGGAUAUACAUACAUAGAGUCACGGGCCAGGUGCUGUGAUUGCUGCUCUGCUCCCCGAAAGGAUUAAUGCCAUCCGUGCUUAAAGCAAACCAUACAUUCCUUGGGUCCUUUGCAAACACAUCCCAGUACUUUCUCUCGAUUUUUCUCCACUGCGACCCAUCAGCGGGUGCUCUCAACUUCCCAUAUUUCUUUCGGUUCUCACUGUGCCAUCGCAUCAACUUGGCAUGCUCUUCGUUUCUGAACAGACGUUUCAACCGUGGUAUUAUAGGAGCAUACCACAUCACCUUCGCAGGAACCCUCUUCCUGGGGGGCUCGCCGUCAACAUCACCAGGGUCAUCUCGUUUGAUCUUAUACCGCAAUGCACCGCAUACCGGGCAUGCGUUCAGAUCCUUGUAUGCACCGCGGUAGAGGAUGCAGUCAUUAGGGCAUGCAUGUAUCUUCUCCACCUCCAAUCCUAGAGGGCAUACGACCUUCUUUGCUGCGUAUGUACUGUCGGGCAAUUCGUUAUCCUUUGGAAGCUUCUUAUUCAAUAUUUUCAGUAGCUUCUCAAAUCCUUUGUCAACCACAGCAUUCACUGCCUUCCACUGCAGCAAUUCCAGUACAGUACCGACCUUUGUGUUGCCAUCUUCGCAAUUGGGGUAUAACCCUUUUUUGUGAUCCUCUAACAUGUGAUCGAACUUCAGCUUCUCCUUUUGACUAAUGCAUUGCGUCCUUGCAUCGACAAUGACCCGGCAGAGAUCAUCAUCAUCGGGCACAUUGUCUGGUUCCUCUUGAUCUUCAGCAGCUUCACCCGUGGCAGCAUCAUUGGGCACAUCGUCUGGUUCCUCUUGAUCUUCACCAGCUCCCCCCGUUGCAGCAUCACCGUAUUCAGGGGGCACAUAGUUGUCAUCGUACUCUUCUUCUUCGCCGUCUUCCAUCAUAACCCCUAUUUCUCCGUGUCUCGUCCAAACAUUAUAGUGUGGCAUGAAACCCUUGUAAAGCAGGUGGGAGUGAAGGAUUUUCUGGUUAGAGUAAGACCUCGUAUUCCCACAUUCAGUGCAUGGACAACACAUAAAACCAUUCUGCUUGUUUGCCUCAGCCGCAUAGAGAAACUCAAGCACGCCCUUAAUGUACUCGCGGGUGUGUCUGUCACCAUACAUCCAUUGCCGGUUCAUCUGCGUGCAUUAUAUAUAAUUAAGUGUCCAAAUUAAUAGAAGUUGAUCAUCACAUUAAAACCAAAGUGCAUACAUAGUUCUCAUCUAACAACAUAUAGCUCUCCAGAGCAUCUAAUUAAUUAAACCAUACAUUGAAACUAUGUAAAACAUUUCAAUGCGAAAACAAAUGCGAUCAUAAUUGCAACCAAGGUAACAAUUGAUCCAACGGCAUAAUGAUACCAAGCCUCGGUAUGAAUGGCAUAUUUUCUAAUCUUUCUAAUCUUCAAGCGCAUUCCAUCCAUCUUGAUCUUGUGAUCAUCGACGACAUCCGCAACAUGCAACUCCAGUAUCAUCUUCUCCUCCUCAAUUUUUUUUAUUUUUUCCUUCAACAAAUUGUUUUCUUCUUCAACUAAAUUUAACCUCUCGACAAUAGCGUCGGUUGGCAUUUCUGAUUCACAUACAUCCUAGAUAAAUAAUAUCUAUGUCACGUUGGUCGGCAUAAUUUUCAUAAACAAUAAAUGAACCAAUAGUUAUAAAGAUAAUAUACAUACCACAUCCGAAUCAUAGACAGGACGAGGGCCGACGGGGG